rnacentral:lncRNA from 1 species
CAUCUAUAAAAUUUGUCAUUGUGGAACAAAAUUUAGGUUUUAGUUUCCUUCAUAAUUUCAAAUUUUUCGAUGAAGAUUAUAGAUGAAUGCUAUUAAAUUGAUUAUUUAACAACUAUUUUUCGUUUUUUGUUGGAAUAAAAGGAAAUUUAGCAUUGGAAACUUAAAUAUUUCAUGGUGAAAUUUAAGGCAUCUCUAGAGAAUGUGUAUGAAUGAAUGGGAGAUUGUCAUUGUGAACCAGCUUUCGGGUCAAUUCAUACACCUAGUUUGACCAUACAUUUGUUUUAUUUUUGCUCAAAUGCUACUCUGAAAUAUCAAACAGACGUUAGAUUUUGCUUUUAUAGGAUUUUAGAACUAUAUUUUUCCACUUUUAUGAGUUAAAAAUCUGUUUGGAAAAAGGGUUAUUUCUAAUGUUGUUAAAAAUACGCCCUCUUUUGUUCGAAAGUGACUUCUACGUGUAAAACAUAUGGGGCUCUAAAGCGAGUACAUUUGUCACGAUUCUGAUCCCAGUCGGAGUGAACAGUGUGUCUAAUCUCUCACAAAAUCAUGAAAGACACGUAGGAAGACGGUGGCCAUCAUUUUGUUUAUUCAUCGCAUUCGACUUCAAGCCCUGAUCAACAAUUUUGUGCCUCAACGUUAGAGAUCUUCUUCAAGGAAUCGACCAUGCCAUGUACCCAUUUUCAAGAGAUCAGUUCUGAGUGGAUAGAAGAUGGAUGACUCGGAGCAUAUCCUGCAAAAUGUCCAUUUUGUACACAGAGUACAGAGUACACAGAGCCGUUCUUACCAAACAGCAUAAGGCCUGUCAUCUGGUAGUUCUGUCUUCAAGCCGUCACUCUUCGUCUUAUCAAGUGGUGUUAAACUUAGUGCUCAGCUUUACAGGCCAAACUUAUCUGCAAUCACAGAUGUGUGCUUCCCUUGUUCCAAGUUAUCGCAGUUGACCAGUAUUUGAAAACUUCUUGGGUGGUAUUCUGAGCAUGAUUUUAUCUCUAAAAUCUUUUUAGUAUGCGUAUAGUAACUUCCGGUAGUUCACGGAAUCAAAUCAAAUCCGUUAUUUUACCACUAUCCAUAUUACUGUAUAAGAAGUCACUAACAUAUGCCAAUGCAGUAUUAGUGGAAUAACCCUUCCGGAAACAUGAAUUGGUAAGAGUAAGCAAGUCCGAAUCCAACAAAUAGUCAUGUAAACUAGGUGUGCACAGUCUUUUCUAAACACCUUCAUGAUUGUUGGUAGAAUCGUUAUCAGAUGAUAUUCACAUCUGUAUACUGUAUAAUUGUAUUCCAUUGUCUGUGUUCCCACAUUUGUGAAUGGGGGUAAUCCUGGCCUGCUUCCAUUCUUCAGGAAUUACUCCUAAUUAGAGAGAUAGAUUAAAAAGUUUGGUGAUUGUUUUUUUGUUGAUAGGUGCAGCCAAUUUUAAUAACCUAUAAUUAAAGGAAACCUCACCCCAAAGAAUAAG